UUGACCUCAAAUCGGGUGAGACUACCCGCUGAACU
rnacentral:rRNA from 2 species